UACGUAGGUGACCAGCGUUGUCCGGAUUUACUGGGCGUAAAGAGCGCGCAGGCGGUCGUUCAAGUCGAGUGUGAAAGCCCCCGGCUCAACUGGGGAGGGUCAUUCGAUACUGAUCGACUCGAAGGCAGGAGAGGGAAGCGGAAUUCCCGGUGUAGUGGUGAAAUGCGUAGAUAUCAGGAGGAACACCGGUGGCGAAGGCGGGUCUCUGGGCCGAUACUGACGCUGAGGAGCGAAAGCGUGGGGAGCGAACAGG
rnacentral:rRNA from 1 species